rnacentral:tRNA from 1 species
GGAGAAAUGGCUCAGCAGUUAAGAGCACUGGUUGCCUUCCAGAGGACCUAGGUUCAAUUCCUAGCACCC